UACGUAGGGUGCGAGCGUUUGUCCGGAAUUAUUGGGCGUAAAGGGCUCGUAGGCGGUUUGUCGCGUCGGGAGUGAAAUCCACUGGCUUAACUGGUGGCUUGCUUUCGAUACGGGCAGACUGGAGGUAUGCAGGGGAGAACGGAAUUCCUAGUGUAGCGGUGAAAUGCGCAGAUAUCAGGAGGAACACCGGUGGCGAAGGCGGUUCUCUGGGCAUGUCCUGACGCUGAGGAGCGAAAGCGUGGGGAGCAAACAGG
rnacentral:rRNA from 1 species